rnacentral:rRNA from 1 species
GGGUCUAAUACCGGAUAGGAGCGUCCACCGCAUGGUGGGUGUUGGAAAGAUUUAUCGGUUUUGGAUGGACUCGCGGCCUAUCAGCUUGUUGGUGAGGUAAUGGCUCACCAAGGCGACGACGGGUAGCCGGCCUGAGAGGGUGACCGGCCACACUGGGACUGAGACACGGCCCAGACUCCUACGGGAGGCAGCAGUGGGGAAUAUUGCACAAUGGGCGCAAGCCUGAUGCAGCGACGCCGCGUGAGGGAUGACGGCCUUCGGGUUGUAAACCUCUUUCAGUAGGGAAGAAGCGAAAGUGACGGUACCUGCAGAAGAAGCACCGGCUAACUACGUGCCAGCAGCCGCGGUAAUACGUAGGGUGCGAGCGUUAUCCGGAAUUAUUGGGCGUAAAGAGCUCGUAGGCGGUUUGUCGCGUCUGUCGUGAAAGUCCGGGGCUUAACCCCGGAUCUGCGGUGGGUACGGGCAGACUAGAGUGCAGUAGGGGAGACUGGAAUUCCUGGUGUAGCGGUGGAAUGCGCAGAUAUCAGGAGGAACACCGAUGGCGAAGGCAGGUCUCUGGGCUGUAACUGACGCUGAGGAGCGAAAGCAUGGGGAGCGAACAGGAUUAGAUACCCUGGUAGUCCAUGCCGUAAACGUUGGGCACUAGGUGUGGGGACCAUUCCACGGUUUCCGCGCCGCAGCUAACGCAUUAAGUGCCCCGCCUGGGGAGUACGGCCGCAAGGCUAAAACUCAAAGGAAUUGACGGGGGCCCGCACAAGCGGCGGAGCAUGCGGAUUAAUUCGAUGCAACGCGAAGAACCUUACCAAGGCUUGACAUGUUCUCGAUCGCCGUAGAGAUACGGUUUCCCCUUUGGGGCGGGUUCACAGGUGGUGCAUGGUUGUCGUCAGCUCGUGUCGUGAGAUGUUGGGUUAAGUCCCGCAACGAGCGCAACCCUCGUUCCAUGUUGCCAGCACGUCGUGGUGGGGACUCAUGGGAGACUGCCGGGGUCAACUCGGAGGAAGGUGAGGACGACGUCAAAUCAUCAUGCCCCUUAUGUCUUGGGCUUCACGCAUGCUACAAUGGCCGGUACAAUGGGUUGCGAUACUGUGAGGUGGAGCUAAUCCCAAAAAGCCGGUCUCAGUUCGGAUUGGGGUCUGCAACUCGACCCCAUGAAGUCGGAGUCGCUAGUAAUCGCAGAUCAGCAACGCUGCGGUGAAUA